UUAAAAGAAAUUUUCUCUGACUUUGAUGCUAAAUACAGAGGAGCCUUUUGUGAAGCCAAGAUCAAGACAGCAAAAAGGCUUGUCAAAGUCAAGGUAACAUUUAGACAUGAUUCUUCAACGGUGGAAGUUCAGGAUGACCACAUAAAGGGCCCAUUAAAGGUUGGAGCUAUUGUGGAAGUGAAGAAUCUUGAUGGUGCAUAUCAGGAAGCUGUUAUCAAUAAAUUAACAGAUGCGAGUUGGUACACUGUAGUUUUUGAUGAUGGAGAUGAGAAGACACUGAGACGAUCUUCACUGUGCCUAAAGGGAGAGAGGCAUUUUGCUGAAAGUGAAAGGGGCGACACUUUAAUACUUGUUAAACCAUUAGACUUUGUGGGUUUUUUGUUUUGA
rnacentral:lncRNA from 1 species